rnacentral:rRNA from 1 species
UACAGAGGGUGCAAGCGUUAAUCGGAAUUACUGGGCGUAAAGCGUGCGUAGACGGUCAUGUAAGUCGGGUGUGAAAGCCCCGGGCUCAACCUGGGAAUUGCAUUCGAGACUGCAUGGCUAGGAUGCGGAAGAGGGAAGCGGAAUUUCCGGUGUAGCGGUGAAAUGCGUAGAUAUCGGAAGGAACACCAGUGGCGAAAGCGGCUUCCCUGGUCCAGCAUACGACGGUCAGGCACGAAAGCGUGGGGAGCAAAGGGG